rnacentral:rRNA from 1 species
CGAGCGUUGUUCGGAAUUAUUGGGCGUAAAGGGUGCGUAGGCGGCCUGACAAGUCUGAUGUGAAAUCCCUGGGCUCAACCCAGGGCCUGCAUCGGAAACUGUCGGGCUUGAGUAUGGGAGAGGUGAGUGGAAUUUCCGGUGUAGCGGUGAAAUGCGUAGAUAUCGGAAGGAACACCUGUGGCGAAAGCGGCUCACUGGACCAUUACUGACGCUGAGGCACGAAAGCUAGGGGAGCAAACAGG